rnacentral:rRNA from 1 species
GACGAACGCUGGCGGCGUGCUUAACACAUGCAAGUCGAACGGCAAGGCCCUGCUUUUGUGGGGUGCUCGAGUGGCGAACGGGUGAGUAACACGUGAGUAACCUGCCCUUGACUUUGGGAUAACUUCAGGAAACUGGGGCUAAUACAAGAUCGCAGCCCCCGCUGCAUGGUGGGGGUUGGAAAGUUUCGGCGGUCGGGGAUGGACUCGCGGAUUAUCGGCUUGUUGGUGGGGUAGUGGCUUACCAAGGCUUUGACGGGUAGCCGGCCUGAGAGGGUGACCGGCCACAUUGGGACUGAGGUACGGCGCAGACUCCUACGGGGGGCAGCAGUGGGGAAUAUUGCACAAUGGGCGGAAGCCUGAUGCAGCGACGCCGCGUGCGUGAUGACGUCCUUCGGGUUGUAAACCGCUUUCGCCUGUGACGAAGCGUUAGUGACGGUAAUGGGUAAAGAAGCACCGGCUAACUACGUG